UACGUAGGGUGCGAGCGUUAAUCGGAAUUACUGGGCGUAAAGCGUGCGCAGGCGGUCUGUUAAGACCGAUGUGAAAUCCCCGGGCUUAACCUGGGAACUGCAUUGGUGACUGGCAGGCUUUGAGUGUGGCAGAGGGAGGUAGAAUUCCACGUGUAGCAGUGAAAUGCGUAGAGAUGUGGAGGAAUACCGAUGGCGAAGGCAGCCUCCUGGGCCAACACUGACGCUCAUGCACGAAGCGUGG
rnacentral:rRNA from 1 species